rnacentral:rRNA from 1 species
UACUCGAGUGGCGAACGGGUGAGUAACACGUGGGUGAUCUGCCCUGCACUCUGGGAUAAGCCUGGGAAACUGGGUCUAAUACCGGAUAGGACCAUGCUUUAGUGUGUGUGGUGGAAAGUUUUUUCGGUGUAGGAUGAGCCCGCGGCCUAUCAGCUUGUUGGUGGGGUAAUGGCCUACCAAGGCGGCGACGGGUAGCCGGACUGAGAGGUUGGUAGGCCACAUUGGGACUGAGAUACGGCCCAG